rnacentral:snoRNA from 1 species
AAUCCGCGUUGCAGGCAUUGGUGAGGUAAACCCUUGUAUCGUUCCCAAGAUUCUGAAUAGCAUUCUGAGUCCAUUUGUUCAAAAAUAGCGAUCUCGUCCUUUAGCUU